rnacentral:rRNA from 1 species
CGGGGGAGACUUCGGUUCUCCUGUCUGAACCCUUGUCUUUUGCGUACUAUUUGUUUCCUUGGUGGGCUUGCCUGCCGAUAGGACAACCAUUAAACCUUUUGUAAUUGCAAUCAGCGUCAGAAAAAACAUAAUAAUUACAACUUUCAACAACGGAUCUCUUGGUUCUGGCAUCGAUGAAGAACGCAGCGAAAUGCGAAAAGUAGUGUGAAUUGCAGAAUUCAGUGAAUCAUCGAAUCUUUGAACGCACAUUGCGCCCCUUGGUAUUCCAUGGGGCAUGCCUGUUCGAGCGUCAUUUGUACCUUCAAGCUCUGCUUGGUGUUGGGUGUUUGUCCCGCUUUUUUGCGUGGACUCGCCUCAAAGCAAUUGGCAGCCGGCGUACUAGCCUGGGAGCGCAGCACAUUUUGCGCAUCUCGACUUGAACGCUUGCAUCCAUCAAGUUACUUUUUAACUCUUGACCUCGGAUCAGGUAGGGAUACCCGCUGAACUUAAGCAUAUCAAUAAGAAG